rnacentral:rRNA from 1 species
UGCCAGCAGCCGCGGUAAGACGGAGGGUGCAAACGUUGUUCGGAAUCACUGGGCAUAAAGCGCACGUAGGCGGUCCGCUAAGUCAGUCGUGAAAUCCCUCGGCUCAACCGAGGAACUGCACCUGAUACUGGCGGACUCGAGGACGGUAGGGGUGAGUGGAACUCCAGGUGGAGCGGUGAAAUGCGUAGAUAUCUGGAGGAACACCGGUGGCGAAGGCGACUCACUGGACCGUAUCUGACGCUGGGGUGCGAAAGUGUGGGGAGCAAACAGGAUUAGAUA